rnacentral:rRNA from 1 species
GGGCCCGCACAAGCAGUGGAGUAUGUGGUUUAAUUCGAAGCAACGCGAAGAACCUUACCAGGUCUUGACAUCCAACUAACGAGGCAGAGAUGCGUUAGGUGCCCUUCGGGGAAAGUUGAGACAGGUGGUGCAUGGUUGUCGUCAGCUCGUGUCGUGAGAUGUUGGGUUAAGUCCCGCAACGAGCGCAACCCUUGUGAUUAGUUGCUACGCAAGAGCACUCUAAUCAGACUGCCGUUGACAAAACGGAGGAAGGUGGGGACGACGUCAAAUCAUCAUGCCCUUUAUGACCUGGGCUACACACGUACUACAAUGGCCAUUAACAACGGGAAGCGAGACCGCGAGGUGGAGCAAAACCCCAAAAAUGGCCUCAGUUCGGAUCGCAGGCUGCAACCCGCCUGCGUGAAGCUGGAAUUGCUAGUAAUCGCGGAUCAUCAUGCCGCGGUGAAUACGUUCCCGGGCCUUGUACACACCGCCCGUCACACCAUGGGAGCCGGUAAUACCCGAAGUCGGUAGUCUAACCGCAAGGAGGACGCCGCCGAAGGUAGGAUUGGCGACUGGGGUGAAGUCGUAACAAGGUAGCCGUAUCGGAAGGUGCGGCU